GAAGCCGCGAGGCCAAGCGGAAAGAAGCGUGUAGCGAAGGUACGAGCGCGGGAACACGAACAAGCAGAGAGGCCGGGCGUGGGCGAUAAGCGUGCUAGGGAACGCGAAAUCCAACCGUCACCGAAAGACGCAUUCGGUAGAGCUUGGCGGCACGGGCUGAAAGUUUUGGCGC
rnacentral:ncRNA from 1 species